UACGAAGGGGGCGAGCGUUGUUCGGAAUUACUGGGCGUAAAGGGCGCGCAGGCGGCCUUAGAAGUCAGAUGUGAAAGCCCCGGGCUCAACCUGGGAAUGGCAUUUGAUACUGUGAGGCUGGAGUACGGGAGAGGAGAGUGGAAUUCCCAGUGUAGAGGUGAAAUUCGUAGAUAUUGGGAAGAACACCGGUGGCGAAGGCGGCUCUCUGGACCGUAACUGACGCUGAGGCGCGAAAGCGUGGGGAGCAAACAGG
rnacentral:rRNA from 1 species